rnacentral:ncRNA from 1 species
GUGACUCUGGAGAAUCCCGGAUCGGGUGCCGAAGGUGCAACGCGCGUCCUGCGCGAAUCUCUCAGGCAAAAGGACAGAGGACA